UCAUUUAAAGAAAGAAAUUGAAAGACGCUUCAAACUUAUUUGUCAAGCAGCAAACCCAGCAAUGAAUACUGUAUCAACUACUGACUUUAUGUCAAGGUAUUGUACUAAUCUUGGUCUUCCAUUAGCAGUUGAGUUCAGUUUGGUAUGGGUGUGAUUGAGCCUGCCUUAAAACCAGUGGAGUCAUCAGUAAUGAUGAAUGGUACUACUCCUGGGUUGACAAAUGGUGGAUACAAGAUAAGGGAGCUUGGCUGAUAGGCUGAGUGUGUUUAGUUACUCCUAGUGUUGUAUCAGAGGGUAAUGGCUCCCAUGCUUACCUCAGUGGACUUUCUUGUGGUGCUGUCCUCAGAGAGAAGGCUCCAGUCUUGAUACACUAACAGUACUUGGUUCUCAUAAAGGUGACGUCAUUCUCCUAGCUAAUGACAGUUCUUUAAACACCUCCUCCUCCUCCCAGCAACAAUCUCUGACUCUCUCUUUAGCCUUUAGUAUAGAGCCUAACAUGGAGUCCUUCCAGUAUGAUGAUACUCUUCCACAAUAUGUCGGGAAGUUGAAUGACGUCCUUUUUUAAUGGCCACUGCUGUUCACUCUCAUCGAGGACGGAAUUGUGUUGGUCUACAGUGUCUCUAAUGCUAUGAUCAUUGCUGCCAUUCAUCCACUGGAAUACUGUGUAGAAUGUUUAGCUAUAACACUCCAGAUGGUCCCUCUCUCUUACAAAUUCUGUCUUUGUCAUCAUUUCAUAAAAUCUCAGUCUCUCCUGAUCUAGGAGUGUCUCUUAAUUCAUUGGAUCAAUGUUCCCUCCCACUCAAUGCACUGGAGACUGGAACUGAGACAUAGUGUCAUUCUUCCUUAGGAAUAGAGG